AAAACAGACUGAUUUAUAGCUCAAGCAAAACACUUUGGCAUAAAUUUAAAAAUGUAUAAACAAGCAAAAAUGCACAAUUCUCACAAGCCUGGUCUUUCAAAUGA